AGCGAACGCUGGCGGCAGGCUUAACACAUGCAAGUCGAGCGGGCGUAGCAAUACGUCAGCGGCAGACGGGUGAGUAACGCGUGGGAACAUACCUUUUGGUUCGGAACAACACAGGGCAACUUGUGCUAAUACCGGAUAAGCCCUUACGGGGAAAGAGUUAUCGCUGAAAGAUUCGCCCGGGUGUGAUUAGCUAGUUGGUGAGGUAAUGGCUCACCAAGGCGACGAUCAGUAGCUGAGCUGAGAGGAUGAUCAGCCACAUAGGGACUGAGACACGGCCCAAACUGCAACGGGGGGCAGCAGUGGGGAAUAUUGGACAAUGGGGGCGACCCUGAUCCAGCCGUUCCGCGGGAGUGAUGAAGGCCUUAGAGUUGAAUAACUCUUGGGUGCGGGAAGUUAAUGACGGUACCGCAAGAAUAAGCCCCGGCUAACUUCGUGCCAGCCGCCGCUGUAA
rnacentral:rRNA from 1 species